rnacentral:rRNA from 1 species
AGAGAUGUGUGAUGACGCAUAUCAAUAAGCGGAGGAAAAGAAACUAACAAGGAUUCCCUUAGUAACGGCGAGUGAAGCGGGAAGAGCUCAAAUUUGAAAUCUUCAAGGUUCUACCUUGACGAAUUGUAGUUUAUAGAAGUGUUUUCUGUUAGUAGAGUGGCAAAAGUUCUUUGGAAUAGGACAUCAUAGAGGGUGAGAAUCCCGUAUUUGGUCAUUCUUUCUAGCUUUGUGAUACACUUUCAACGAGUCGGAUUGUUUGGGAAUGCAGUCCAAAAUGGGUGGUAAAUUUCAUCUAAAGCUAAGUAUUGGCGAGAGACCGAUAGCGAACAAGUACCGUGAGGGAAAGAUGAAAAGAACUUUGAAAAGAGAGUUAAACAGUACGUGAAAUUGUCAAAAGGGAAGCGUUUGACACCAGUGUUGUUUUUCCGAAAAUCAAUUACGAAUGUUUUAUUUUUGAGAAGUUAUGACUUCAUCGGCUUGCUUCUCUCUUUAUGAAACUUUCUUAAUGCACUUUUCGGUUAACAAGUCAACAUCAAUUUCUUUUGUUGUAAAAGGGUAUGAGGAAGGUGGCUUUCUUUUCGGAGAAAGUGUUUAUAGCCUUGUACCUCUGCAAUCGGAGAGAUUGAGGUCUGCAGCGUAGAUCCUUCGGGGUUAGAUACAUUUGUGCUAAGUUAUAGCUUUUCAUAGACAACUUGUUGACUAUGUUUAGUCUUGUAGCUUACUCGCUUAUGCUAUUUUACCUACGCUUAGGAUGUUGACGAUCAGCUGAGCGCG